GAUGAGUUGAUGACAUUGCGAUGUAACACUAAAACACAAAUGCAGGCAAAAGAAAUUGUGUGGCGAAGAAGACUGCAAGAGAUGUGGCAAUUUUGAUGUGAAAGAACCAUGCCUAGGAAAGACUGAUUGUUCUGUCUGUCACUCUAGCACUGGUGUUUUUUGUAGAGCCUGUCUCAAGAUUUGAUAUGGUGAAGAAAUAGAGGAAGUGAGAAAGAACAAGGGAUGGAUGUGCCCUCAUUGCAUAGAAGCAAAAGGAAUAAACCCUCACUGGAUAUGUAACAGUUCAAUAUGCCUGAGGAACGAAAGAUGCCUCCAACUGGAAUAGCAUAUUAAUUUCUUCAAUGUUAAUAUCUUUGUACUGAGUGUGGUACGUUUUCUUUAAUCAGUGGCAGAUCUACUAAUGGA